rnacentral:rRNA from 1 species
AAAAAAGGUAAGCUACUAAGAGCGAAUGGUGGAUGCCUUGACUGGUAAAGGCGAUGAAGGACGUACUAGACUGCGAUAAGCUACGGGGAGCUGUCAAGAAGCUUUGAUCCGUAGAUUUCCGAAUGGGGCAACCCAAUGUAUAGAGAUAUACAUUACCUAUAUAGGAGCGAACGAGGGGAAUUGAAACAUCUUAGUACCCUCAGGAAAAGAAAUCAAUAGAGAUUGCGUCAGUAGCGGCGAGCGAAAGCGCAAGAGGGCAAACCCAGUGCUUGCACUGGGGGUUGUAGGACUGCAAUGUGCAAGAGGUGAGUUUAGCAGAACAUUCUGGAAAGUAUAGCCAUAGAGGGUGAUAGUCCCGUAUGCGAAAAACAAACCUUAGCUAGCAGUAUCCUGAGUAGGGCGGGACACGAGAAAUCCUGUCUGAAGCUGGGUCGACCACGAUCCAACCCUAAAUACUAAUACCAGAUCGAUAGUGCACAAGUACCGUGAGGGAAAGGUGAAAAGAACUGAGGUGAUCAGAGUGAAAUAGAACCUGAAACCAUUUGCUUACAAUCAUUCAGAGCCCUAUGUAGCAAUACAGGGUGAUGGACUGCCUUUUGCAUAAUGAGCCUGCGAGUUGUGGUGUCUGGCAAGGUUAAGCAAACGCGAAGCCGUAGCGAAAGCGAGUCUGAAUAGGGCGCUUAGUCAGAUGCUGCAGACCCGAAACGAAGUGAUCUAUCCAUGAGCAAGUUGAAGCUAGUGUAAGAACUAGUGGAGGACUGAACCCAUAGGCGUUGAAAAGCCCCGGGAUGACUUGUGGAUAGGGGUGAAAGGCCAAUCAAACUUCGUGAUAGCUGGUUCUCUCCGAAAUAUAUUUAGGUAUAGCGUUGUGUCGUAAUAUAAGGGGGUAGAGCACUGAAUGGGCUAGGGCAUACACCAAUGUACCAAACCCUAUCAAACUCCGAAUACCUUAUAUGUAAUCACAGCAGUCAGGCGGCGAGUGAUAAAAUCCGUCGUCAAGAGGGAAACAACCCAGACUACCAGCUAAGGUCCCUAAAUCUUACUUAAGUGGAAAACGAUGUGAAGUUACUUAAACAACCAGGAGGUUGGCUUAGAAGCAGCCAUCCUUUAAAGAAAGCGUAAUAGCUCACUGGUCUAGUGAUUUUGCGCGGAAAAUAUAACGGGGCUAAAGUAAGUACCGAAGCUGUAGACUUGCGCACAACUUAGAUUAUUUAAGUUUAGAAUAUGAGAAACUAAGUUAUAUGUUUAGUUAUAUUUUUACUGAUUUUUAUAGAGUAAAGAUAGAAAUAAAACUUAGUAAAAUCAGUAAAAAUAUUCUUAGACUAAAGUUAAGUAGUUUAAGUUGUGUGCAAGUGGUAGGAGAGCGUUCUAUUUGCGUCGAAGGUAUACCGGUAAGGAGUGCUGGAGCGAAUAGAAGUGAGCAUGCAGGCAUGAGUAGCGAUAAUUAAUGUGAGAAUCAUUAACGCCGUAAACCCAAGGUUUCCUACGCGAUGCUCGUCAUCGUAGGGUUAGUCGGGUCCUAAGUCGAGUCCGAAAGGGGUAGACGAUGGCAAAUUGGUUAAUAUUCCAAUACCAACAUUAGUGUGCGAUGGAAGGACGCUUAGGGCUAAGGGGGCUAGCGGAUGGAAGUGCUAGUCUAAGGUCGUAGGAGGUUAUACAGGCAAAUCCGUAUAACAAUACUCCGAGAACUGAAAGGCUUUUUGAAGUCUUCGGAUGGAUAGAAGAACCCCUGAUGCCGUCGAGCCAAGAAAAGUUUCUAAGUUUAGCUAAUGUUGCCCGUACCGUAAACCGACACAGGUGGGUGGGAUGAGUAUUCUAAGGCGCGUGGAAGAACUCUCUUUAAGGAACUCUGCAAAAUAGCACCGUAUCUUCGGUAUAAGGUGUGGUUCGCUUCGUAUUAGGAUUUACUCCGAAAGCGAAGAAACUUACAACAAAGAGUCCCUCCCGACUGUUUACCAAAAACACAGCACUCUGCUAACUCGUAAGAGGAUGUAUAGGGUGUGACGCCUGCCCGGUGCUCGAAGGUUAAUUGAUGGGGUUAGCAUUAGCGAAGCUCUUGAUCGAAGCCCGAGUAAACGGCGGCCGUAACUAUAACGGUCCUAAGGUAGCGAAAUUCCUUGUCGGUUAAAUACCGACCUGCAUGAAUGGCGUAACGAGAUGGGAGCUGUCUCAAAGAGGGAUCCAGUGAAAUUGUAGUGGAGGUGAAAAUUCCUCCUACCCGCGGCAAGACGGAGAGACCCCGUGGACCUUUACUACAGCUUGACACUGCUAUUUGGAUAAGAAUGUGCAGGAUAGGUGGGAGGCUUUGAGUAUAUGACGCCAGUUGUAUAUGAGCCAUUGUUGAGAUACCACUCUUUCUUAUUUGGGUAGCUA